AAUGAUACCCGGUAGUCCACCCCGUAAACGUUGGGAACUAGUUGUGGGGUCCAUUCCACGGAUUCCGUGACGCAGCUAACGCAUUAAGUUCCCCGCCUGGGGAGUACGGCCGCAAGGCUAAAACUCAAAGGAAUUGACGGGGACCCGCACAAGCGGCGGAGCAUGCGGAUUAAUUCGAUGCAACGCGAAGAACCUUACCAAGGCUUGACAUAUACGAGAACACUUCAGAAAUGAAGGACUCUUUGGACACUCGUAUACAGGUGGUGCAUGGUUGUCGUCAGCUCGUGUCGUGAGAUGUUGGGUUAAGUCCCGCAACGAGCGCAACCCUCGUUCUAUGUUGCCAGCACGUUAUGGUGGGAACUCAUGGGAUACCGCCGGGGUCAACUCGGAGGAAGGUGGGGAUGACGUCAAAUCGAUCAUGCCCCUUAUGUCUUGGGCUUCACGCAUGCUACAAUGGCCGGUACAAAGGGCUGCAAUACCGUGAGGUGGAGCGAAUCCCAAAAAGCCGGUCCCAGUUCGGAUUGAGGUCUGCAACUCGA
rnacentral:rRNA from 1 species